UUUAUUUUAUUCUUCAUCAUUAAGGUAACUGCAAACAUAUUGUUGAGAGAAAUGAAGAGGUACUUUUGGGGCUUUAGUCUGCAAUAACUUAAAGAAAAGGACCCAGA
rfam:Myotis davidii contig70922, whole genome shotgun sequence.